GACGAACGCUGGCGGCGUGCUUAACACAUGCAAGUCGAGCGGUAAGGCCCUUUCGGGGGUACACGAGCGGCGAACGGGUGAGUAACACGUGGGUGACCUGCCCUCAGCUCUGGGAUAAGCCUGGGAAACCGGGUCUAAUACUGGAUAUGACUCCAUGACGCAUGUUGUGGGGUGGAAAGCCUUGUGCGGCUGAGGAUGGGCCCGCGGCCUAUCAGCUUGUUGGUGGGGUGAUGGCCUACCAAGGCGACGACGGGUAGCCGGCCUGAGAGGGCGACCGGCCACACUGGGACUGAGACACGGGCCCAGACUCCUACGGGAGGCAGCAGUGGGGAAUCUUGCGCAAUGGGCGAAAGCCUGACGCAGCGACGCCGCGUGAGGGAUGACGGCCUGGUGUAAC
rnacentral:rRNA from 1 species